AGGACGAACGCUGGCGGCGUGCUUAACACAUGCAAGUCGAACGAGGCCCUACCUUCGGGUAGGUGACCUAGUGGCGAACGGGUGAGUAACACGUGGGCAACCUACCCUCAGCUCUGGGAUAACCCCGGGAAACCGGAGCUAAAUACCGGAUAUGACCUUGAACGACAUCGUUCUUGGUGGAAAGUUUUUCGGCUGAGGAUGGGCCCGCGGCCUAUCAGCUUGUUGGCGGGUAAUGGCCCACCAAGGCGACGACGGGU
rnacentral:rRNA from 1 species